rnacentral:rRNA from 1 species
GACAGAGGGUGCAAACGUUGUUCGGAAUUACUGGGCGUAAAGCGCAUGUAGGCGGCCAUGCAAGUCGGGUGUGAAAGCCCGGGGCUCAACCCCGGAAGUGCACUCGAAACUGCACGGCUGGAGUCUCGGAGAGGAUCGCGGAAUUCUGGGUGUAGAGGUGAAAUUCGUAGAUAUCCAGAGGAACACCAGUGGCGAAGGCGGCGAUCUGGACGAGUACUGACACUGAGAUGCGAAAGCGUGGGGAGCAAACAGG